rnacentral:rRNA from 1 species
CAGCCGCCGCGGUAAUACAGAGGUCCCAAGCGUUGUUCGGAUUCACUGGGCGUAAAGGGUGCGUAGGUGGUGGGGUAAGUCGGAUGUGAAAGCUCGGAGCUCAACUCCGAAAUGGCAUUGGAAACUACCCUGCUAGAGGAUUGGAGGGGGGACUGGAAUACUUGGUGUAGCAGUGAAAUGCGUAGAUAUCAAGUGGAACACCAGUGGCGAAGGCGAGUCCCUGGACAAUACCUGACACUGAGGCACGAAAGCUAGGGGAGCAAACAGGAUUAGAUACCCUGGUAGUCCUAGCCGUAAACGGUGCACGUUUGCUGUAAAAGGAAUCGACCCCUUUUGUGGCGUAGCUAACGCGUUAAACGUGCCGCCUGGGAAGUACGGUCGCAAGAUUNAAACUNAAAGGAAUUGACGG